rnacentral:rRNA from 1 species
CCUACGGGUGGCUGCAGUGAGGAAUAUUGGUCAAUGGACGAGAGUCUGAACCAGCCAAGUCGCGUGAAGGAUGACUGCCCUAUGGGUUGUAAACUUCUUUUAUAAAGGGAUAAAACUAGACACGUGUACCUUUUUGCAUGUACUUUAUGAAUAAGGAUCGGCUAACUCCGUGCCAGCAGCCGCGGUAAUACGGAGGGUCCGAGCGUUAACCGGAUUUAUUGGGUUUAAAGGGAGCGUAGGUGGGUUGUUAAGUCAGUUGUGAAAGUUUACGGCUUAACCAUAAAAUUGCAUUUGAUACUGGUAGUCUAGAGUAUAGUUGAGGUAGGUGGAAUUCGUGGUGUAGCGGUAAAAUGCGUAGAGAUCACGAAGAAUACCCGUUGCGAAGGCGGACUGCUAGACAAUAACUGACGCUGAGGCACGAAAGCGUGGGGAGCAAACAGGAUUAGAUACCCGUGUAGUC